rnacentral:rRNA from 1 species
AGAACAAGUACCGUUCGAAUAGGGCGGUACCUUGACGGUACCUAACCAGAAAGCCACGGCUAACUACGUGCCAGCAGCCGCGGUAAUACGUAGGUGGCAAGCGUUGUCCGGAAUUAUUGGGCGUAAAGGGCUCGCAGGCGGUUUCUUAAGUCUGAUGUGAAAGCCCCCGGCUCAACCGGGGAGGGUCAUUGGAAACUGGGGAACUUGAGUGCAGAAGAGGAGAGUGGAAUUCCACGUGUAGCGGUGAAAUGCGUAGAGAUGUGGAGGAACACCAGUGGCGAAGGCGACUCUCUGGUCUGUAACUGACGCUGAGGAGCGAAAGCGUGGGGAGCGAACAGGAUUAGAUACCCUGGUAGUCCACGCCGUAAACGAUGAGUGCUAAGUGUUAGGGGGUUUCCGCCCCUUAGUGCUGCAGCUAACGCAUUAAGCACUCCGCCUGGGGAGUACGGUCGCAAGACUGAAACUCAAAGGAAUUGACGGGGGCCCGCACAAGCGGUGGAGCAUGUGGUUUAAUUCGAAGCAACGCGAAGAACCUUACCAGGUCUUGACAUCCUCUGACAAUCCUAGAGAUAGGACGUCCCCUUCGGGGGCAGAGUGACAGGUGGUGCAUGGUUGUCGUCAGCUCGUGUCGUGAGAUGUUGG